rnacentral:lncRNA from 1 species
ACCCCAAGACCUCCGACCUAAGAGAAACCCCGAUGUCCGAGGACCGUACUCUAACAUCCCUCCGGCAUUUAUUGCGCAUGGCCGCUGUAAUCUUCCGGCACACUCAACAAUAAAUGCGGAUCUCCGGCUUACUCCACCAUUAAUGCGGAUCUCCGGCUUACUCCACCAUUAAUGCGGAUCUCCGGCUUACUCCAUAAUAAAUGCGCGUGGCUCCUGACAUCUACGGAUCCCCAGCUCUCCACGGCAAAUCGACCCAGCAGGGUCUAGUCGACUAUGAUAAGUCUCUGAUCUCGGCCAUACCGCCGACAUCAGUGCAAUGAUUCGCCUGACCGAGCGCCGACCUGAACAANNNNNNNNNNNNNNNNNNNNGACAUCAGUGCAAUGAUUCGCCUGACCGAGCGCCGACCUGAACAACAUGCCAAGCCAUACUACGGCCUCCCCCUGUUACAUCACAGGUAAACCGACCCCCGCAUAUAAAAGGGAGCCUUGGCCUCUCAAGAGGGGAUCGGAACAUUCGUACCCCAAAAAUCAUUGUUUAUCUUCCUUCUCCACACUAUUUGCCCCCCUCACUGACUUGACCGUCGGAGGGCCGGCGCCGGAAAACCCGGCCACCGGUUCGUGUGCAGGCACCCGGACAGAGGACGCCGCCAGCCGACGGAUCGCCACCCCGCAGUGAGAACCUGCUGCUCCUUCUCACCGACCGGCCCCGACGGAGGACGCCGCCCGCCGACGGACCGCCGCCCCGCCGUGAGGACUCACAUCCGCUCCCU